rnacentral:rRNA from 1 species
GCGCACGCUGGCGGCAGGCCUAACACCUGCAAGUCGAACGAACUCUUCGGAGUUAGUGGCGGACGGGUGAGUAACACGUGGGAACGUGCCUUUAGGGUCGGAAUAACUCAGGGAAACUUGUGCUAAUACCGAAUGUGCCCUUCGGGGGAAAGAUUUAUCGCCUUUAGAGCGGCCCGCGUCUGAUUAGCUAGUUGGUGAGGUAAAGGCUCACCAAGGCGACGAUCAGUAGCUGGUCUGAGAGGAUGAUCAGCCACAUUGGGACUGAGACACGGCCCAAACUCCUACGGGAGGCAGCAGUGGGGAAUCUUGCGCAAUGGGCGAAAGCCUGACGCAGCCAUGCCGCGUGAAUGAUGAAGGUCUUAGGAUUGUAAAAUUCUUUCACCGGGGACGAUAAUGACGGUACCCGGAGAAGAAGCCCCGGCUAACUUCGUG